rnacentral:rRNA from 1 species
GACGAACGCUGGCGGCGUGCUUAACACAUGCAAGUCGAGCGGUAAGGCCCUUUCGGGGGUACACGAGCGGCGAACGGGUGAGUAACACGUGGGUGACCUGCCCUCAGCUCUGGGAUAAGCCUGGGAAACCGGGUCUAAUACCGGAUAUGACUCCAUGACGCAUGUUGUGGGGUGAAAGCCUUGUGCGGCUGAGGAUGGGGCCCGCGGCCUAUCAGCUUGUUGGUGGGGUGAUGGCCUACCAAGGCGACGACGGGUAGCCGGCCUGAGAGGGCGACCGGCCACACUGGGACUGAGACACGGCCCAGACUCCUACGGGAGGCAGCAGUGGGGAAUCUUGCGCAAUGGGCGAAAGCCUGACGCAGCGACGCCGCGUGAGGGAUGACGGCC